rnacentral:rRNA from 1 species
AGUGGGGAAUAUUGGACAAUGGGCGAAAGCCUGAUCCAGCCAUGCCGCGUGAGUGAUGAAGGCCUUAGGGUUGUAAAGCUCUUUCAGUAGGGAAGAUAAUGACGGUACCUACAGAAGAAGCCCCGGCUAACUUCGUGCCAGCAGCCGCGGUAAUACGAAGGGGGCUAGCGUUGUUCGGAUUUACUGGGCGUAAAGCGCACGUAGGCGGAUUGUUAAGUCGGGGGUGAAAUCCUGGAGCUCAACUCCAGAACUGCCUUUGAUACUGGCAAGCUAGAGUCCGGAAGAGGUGAGUGGAACUCCUAGUGUAGAGGUGGAAUUCGUAGAUAUUAGGAAGAACACCAGUGGCGAAGGCGGCUCACUGGUCCGGUACUGACGCUGAGGUGCGAAAGCGUGGGGAGCAAA